rnacentral:rRNA from 1 species
AACGAACGCUGGCGGCAUGCCUAACACAUGCAAGUCGAACGAGACCUUCGGGUCUAGUGGCGCACGGGUGCGUAACGCGUGGGAACCUGCCCUUAGGUUCGGAAUAACUCCCCGAAAGGGGUGCUAAUACCGGAUAAUGUCUUCGGACCAAAGAUUUAUCGCCUUUGGAUGGGCCCGCGUUGGAUUAGCUAGUUGGUAGGGUAAAAGCCUACCAAGGCGACGAUCCAUAGCUGGUCUGAGAGGAUGAUCAGCCACACUGGGACUGAGACACGGCCCAGACUCCUACGGGAGGCAGCAGUGGGGAAUAUUGGACAAUGGGCGAAAGCCUGAUCCAGCAAUGCCGCGUGCGGGAUGACGGCCUUCGGGUUGUAAACCGCUUUCGCCUGUGACGAAGCGUGAGUGACGGUAAUGGGUAAAGAAGCACCGGCUAACUACGUG